rnacentral:sRNA from 1 species
ACCUUCUUCUUUAUCCCCUUUGCUGACGUCGUACUUUUUUCGCAGUCAAUACCAUCAACAAUCUUCUUGAAAAAAAGGUUUAGAAUUGUCUUGAACUGAUACUGGUCCAAGGGAACGUACAUGUACCAGUCAUUUUCCCGGUAAAGAAAUAUAUAAAACAGAUUCAAAACAUCGACCACUUUGAUCAAGUGACUGUUUCUAUUAAGUUUGGAUGUUCAUUGAAUAAUAUAAUUUAUCCCUAUUUUAUUUAUAAGUUAUUGUUUAAAUAAUAGAAAUUUAACAUUUUUACGAUACAUAUAAAACAAAUGCUGAAUGGCAUGGAUUUUGUAUGUAUCAAGCAGACAAUAAGAAGUUACUCUUUGUUACACUGCUAGAAUUCUAGACGUAUUUUACUCUAGGGAGGUUUUGAAUGCAUGUAUUUUUUUUUGUUUAAAUCGUGUGAAAAUGUGAUAGAAUAUAUGUAGAUUUAUGUAAGAGAGAAGAGAAGGCUAACAAAUUAAAUAGGACUAGAUAAAUAUGUUCUAUUUAUUAGUUUUAUUCAUACAGAAAAAAGAUAUAUCUUCUAAUGUAUGCAUUGUGUAUUUUGGAUUGCAUCAUUUUACGUAUCAAAUUUGUAGAAUAUGAAAUAAACGAUACAUUAUUUUC